UGCAUUCCAAAAAUCAAGUUACUGACACACUAUUAUUGCCCAUUUCAAAUGAUAUGCAGCCACUUCAAAAAUGAAAUCAAGGAACAAUGGUUAUUGUUUGUAGAAAAAUUAUGCAUAUAAAAAUCCAUGGAUACAUCCAUGAACCAUUUUGUUCCGAACUGUAAUCUUCUCCGAGAUAUUCUCUCAAUUACCAAGUAACUUUGGGAACAGAAAGGGUAGUGCCAACUGUAUAUUACUCAACUGCUUCAUCAACAUUAUCAGUUUGUUACUACAUAAUGUUGGCACGGUUGCAAAAUAUUAAACUAAUAAUCACCUUAUGAUCGUUAAAUCAAAAGAAUUUGAGAUAUUAAAAUGAGACAAGUACAGCAAGUAACAUUGUCCACCCAUUGCAUUUACCAUUGGACAACUUGCUUAUGAGGCGAUGUCUGAAUGCCGAAGACAAAUGUAAGACUGUCUUAAAGGAGUAAAAGUAUUGACAGAAAUACAGAACAAAGUAUACUUCAUCUCACUUGCUAUGACCAAAAAAAUCCCUUACU
rnacentral:lncRNA from 1 species